GAAUCGCAAAAGGGCCGAAGUGCGAAUAUACCCGCCUAAUAACUUCAGUGUGUAAUAUCGUUAGUGUUUCCCUCCCUCCCCGUCCGCGGAUUCCGCAGGUUCUCUCCGCGAAUCUCUCGAGUAUUUCGCUUUCUACAAUCACGCGACGUACGUAUUAUGGCGUUGAUCUCAUCGCUCAGACGGGUAACAGCUUUUACAAGCGGAUUGGCGAAAUCCCCGAAUUCACUCGGGGCCGUUCU